rnacentral:rRNA from 1 species
CUACGUGCCAGCAGCCGCGGUAAUACGUAGGGUGCAAGCGUUAAUCGGAAUUACUGGGCGUAAAGAGUGCGCAGGCGGUUUUGCAAGACCGAUGUGAAAUCCCCGGGCUUAACCUGGGAACUGCAUUGGUGACUGCAAGGCUAGAGUGUGUCAGAGGGAGGUGGAAUUCCGCAUGUAGCAGUGAAAUGCGUAGAUAUGCGGAGGAACACCGAUGGCGAAGGCAGCCUCCUGGGAUAACACUGACGUUCAUGCUCGAAAGCGUGGGUAGCAAACAGGAUUAGAUACCCUGGUAGUCCACGCUGUAAACGAUGUCGACUUGGAGGUUGUGCCCUUGAGGCGUGGCUUCCGGAGCUAACGCGUUAGGUCGACCGCCUGGGGAGUACGGCCGCAAGGUUAAAACUCAAAUGAAUUGACGGGGGCCCGCACAAGCGGUGGAGCAUGUGGUUUAAUUCGAUGCAACGCGAAGAACCUUACCUACUCUUGACAUCCAGAGAAUUCGCUAGAGAUAG